rnacentral:lncRNA from 1 species
UUGUUCUCACGGCGACGGCGUCUAACCGGCCGUGUGUUUUGUGUUUUUUGUUGGUUGGGCUUUUGGCGACGGCGUCUUACCGGCCUCUUGCCUUGUUGUUUGCGUUGGUGGAGAGUCGGGAUUGUUUGGGGACGAUGGUUAGGCCGGAGUUCCGUAAACUUUCCCUUCCGCUCUCCUCCCCUUCUUUGGUUUUCGUUUUCUAGACGGGUACUCUUUUUCCUUUUCUCGGUUUUUCCCUUUGGGGUUUUUCGAGAAAAGGUUUUAAUGAGGCUCGGCCCUUAGUCAGCUUUCUUGUGCUUUCAAGGGUUUUUUAGGUUUUUCUUUCUUUUUAUAAAAUCGCAGUUUAUAU